GAUGAACGCUGGCGGCGUGCCUAAUACAUGCAAGUCGAGCGAACAGACGAGGAGCUUGCUCCUCUGACGUUAGCGGCGGACGGGUGAGUAACACGUGGAUAACCUACCUAUAAGACUGGGAUAACUUCGGGAAACCGGAGCUAAUACCGGAUAAUAUAUUGAACCGCAUGGUUCAAUAGUGAAAGACGGUUUUGCUGUCACUUAUAGAUGGAUCCGCGCCGCAUUAGCUAGUUGGUAAGGUAACGGCUUACCAAGGCAACGAUGCGUAGCCGACCUGAGAGGGUGAUCGGCCACACUGGAACGGAGACACGGUCCAGACUCCUAGGGGAGGCAGCAGUAGGAAAUCUUCCGCAAUGGGCGAAAGCCUGACGGAGCAACGCCGCGUGAGUGAUGAAGGUCUUCGGAUCGUAAAACUCUGUUAUUAGGGAAGAACAAAUGUGUAAGUAACUAUGCACGUCUUGACGGUACCUAAUCAGAAAGCCACGGCUAACUACGU
rnacentral:rRNA from 1 species